UACGGGGGGAGCAAGCGUUGUUCGGAUUUACUGGGCGUAAAGGGCGCGUAGGCGGCGUGACAAGUCACUUGUGAAAUCUCCGGGCUUAACUCGGAACGGUCAAGUGAUACUGUCGUGCUAGAGUACAGAAGGGGCAACUGGAAUUCUCGGUGUAGCGGUGAAAUGCGUAGAUAUCGGGAGGAACACCAGUGGCGAAGGCGGCGAUCUGGGAAGAUACUGACGCUGAGGUGCGAAAGCGUGGGGAGCAAACAGG
rnacentral:rRNA from 1 species